UACAGAGGGUGCGAGCGUUUUUGUUCGGAAUUUAUUUGGGCGUAAAGGGCGCGUAGGCGGUGCGGUAAGUCACCUGUGAAAUCUCCUGGCUCAACUGGGAGCUUUGCAGGCGAAACUGCCGUGCUUGAGUGUGGGAGAGGUGAGUGGAAUUUCCCGGUGUAGCGGUGAAAUGCGUAGAUAUCGGGAGGAACACCUGUGGCGAAAGCGGCUCACUGGACCACAACUGACGCUGAGGCGCGAAAGCUAGGGGGAGCAAACAGG
rnacentral:rRNA from 1 species